AAUCCACCUGCCUCUGCCUCCCAAGUGCUGGGAUUAAAGGUGUGUGCUACCACAGCCCGGCUUCUCACUGGGGUUUCUAAGCAGGGGCUAUGGCCUCGACUCUGCUUUUUAAGACAGUUUCACUAAGUCGCACAGACUGCCCUGAACUUGUGAUGCUUCUGUCCCAGUGACUCCUAUGGCCAGGAUGGCUUGUUUCCCUAGUGAAGUAACUAGACAGGAACUCCAGAUGUCAUGUGAAGCUGGUUGCCUGCUUAAUGCAGAAACUGUAGGGUGGUGUGUGGAGCAGCCCAGUUCACUGUGCAGAGACUGAGGCCAGAGGUUAGGGAGAGCAGGGUGAGGAGUCAGAGCCACUGCACCAGAUAGAGCUUCUCUCAGAGAACACUUAGUCCUUCUGGGAACAGGAUGCUCAUCACACAGGUAAGAGAAGCCUAGUGAGAACGUGUCCCUCUGCAAAUGAGGGCUGAGGAAGGUAGAGCUUGCCUCUUGUGAGGUAGGAGGCUGGCAAGCCCUUGGUCUGAAGAAGGAAGAGAGCCUUGCACUGAGGUUCACAGGUCCAGCCUCUGUUCCCCACCAUAGAACUCUUGAAGUCUUCCCCAGUAGGCGUCAAAGACCAAGGCAGGCACCCGGAUCUCUUGUUGAGCACCGGCUUUGAAAGCCUUGUGAGGCCUGGGUAUGCAUUAUCCCCUACCCCAUGGUCUGUUUUACCCACGACAGAAUUCACAAAGCCACCAGAUUAACAGGAAGUGGACCCCUGCAGGCUGCUGGGUCCCCUGUGCCUGGUCACUUAACCCCACCCUGCAGAGCAAUAGUGGAUGUGAACCUGGGUGGCCACUGGCAAGCAGCAAGGUACAGAGAGUGGUGUGUGUGUGUGUGUGUGUGUGUGUGUGUGUGUGUGUGUGCUGGGGACUGCCCACAGCAGGCCAGGAUGGAGACAUCUUAGUGGCCUGUGGCAGCUCCUUGUAAAAACAGUUGUUCCCAUUUCUCCUAACCUUAUCCCUGGACAACGGCUGUAUAGAUUUCAUUUGUGAGUGACUGCUUUUCAGUUGGCCUUGGUGUGCACAAUUAUUCUAUUAUAUCUGACUUUCCUAUUUCUUUCUCCUGCUUUGGUGAAUUCUGUGAAACUAGAUGUUCCUUGAUGUAAUGAUUUUUAAACAAUUAAAAAUUGAGGCAUAGGGCACAGCACAGCACAGCACAGCACAGCACAGUCCUAAUGGCCCAGGUGCAAGCUGCGAGCUCUCAUCUUGGAAACAAUGUAAUAACUGCACAAUGCUAGACUAAUUCUAGAAUAAUGCUUGACUUGCAAAAAAAGUUUGAAGAAAUCAUGUUUAGAAAUAUUAGUAGCUGGGUGUGGUCACACACACCUUUAAUCUCAGCACUCAGGAGGCAGAGGCAGGCGGAUUUCUGAGUUCGAGGCCAGUCUGGUCUACAAAGUGAGUUCCAGGACAGCCAGGGCUAUACAGAGAAACCCGUCUCGAAAAACCAAAAAAAAAAAAAAAAAGAAUAGAAUUAUUAGGAAAGAAUAGAAAUAUUAGAAAAUGAAACAGAGCCAUACAGAGUCCAUUAUCAGAAAGUGAAGGAAUUGACUAGGAUUAUGAAAAGGCAUUCAUAUGAGAGACAAAGUCAUGGAAUAAGGGAACACAAACACGGGAUACUUUAAAUCAGAAAGGAAAAAACUAUUUAAGUUAUGAAAUGAGUUUUGCACAUUUGAGAGAGGUUCCUGGUCUCCUUUGGAUAUGUAUGGAUAAGCAAGUAUAGGAUACAUAAAGUUAUAUACUAGUAAAACUAAGUCAAGACAUUGGGACUCUUAGGAGAGUCAUUGUGUGCAAUGUGCAGAAGCAGAAAGCUAGCAGAAUUACUGAGUUAAGGGUUAACCUGACUCUUUCUGGCCACUGCCUGGCAGCUCUGCCCAUGUCAUUUGUCAUUAGAGCGUCACGGGAAAGCACGUGUAGCUGAUCUCGGAGCUCUGACCUCUGAAGUACAAUAAGUCAAAAGUUAAAGUUUAAAUGAUGGUAAGUUUGCAGUUAUUAUUAUUUUAGCCACAGGCCUGGGAAUAGGGGAAGCUUGAAACUUUGGGGAAAAAGUGUAAUUCCUGGUUCUUUGUGGGACAUGAUUAUUCUUUUGAAUUUGAUUUGGUAAUGAUUAUACAAUGUCUUUUUCUACCUGCUUUUGGAAUACCAAUAAAAGACUGGGGCAAGAGAAAGGUGAGAAUGAGGUACUCAUGAGGCGUGCAAGGUGUGAGGCGAGUGUAGGGUGAAAGGAGAGAGAAUAUGAGGGGUGUGUGUGGGAAAGAGAGUAUGAGGAGAGAGUGAGAGGAGAGAGUGAGAGGAGAGUGUGUGAGAAAGGGAGCAAACGAAAGAGCACAACCGCAGCCUCAAGAGUACAUACUGCGUCAAGCUGAAAGAGAGAAAGUGGGGGGGGGGGGGAGAGCUCAACUUUAAGCCUGUCAGUUUGUACCCGAAAAGUUGACUGUGUGAGUUUAUUAUGGGUCUUCCAGAUAUCACUGCUUCCAGUUGAAAACUCCGAUCCUGUGUUGAGGCUAGACCCCGACUGUGUGUGUGUGUGUGUGUGUGUGUGUGUGUGUGUGUGUGUGUGUAUGAGAAGGCUCCCAGGAUGCAAGCUCUGCCAUGGUUCAGAGAGAGAGGUUAAGCUAUUUGCCCAAUGACACAGCAAUGGCUUGAUUGGGAAGUCAACCCACGCCCACUGCCCCAUAACUUUUCAACUACCCUGAGCUGCUCAGAGGAAGGUCUCUCCAUUGAAUAUUGGCGUGUUUAAACGACUGAGGGGCUGCCUCACCACAGUAGACUUGGCUCUAGUGGGAUAACUAGUUCCGAUUGAUGGGGGCCAUGUGCCCUCUGGUGGUCAAUGCCGGAAUGGGUGGGAAUGGGGACAGAAAGCAGGCCAGGUGUGAAGGUUGACUGUCCCUCCCCUUCUUGCAGGAAUCCUAACUCUGAGUAACUCCUAUUCUUUCUUCAAAACUCUGCUUGCAAUGUACCCUCCUCACCCCCAGGAAGUCAUUCUUGUGUCAUCAGAGAUAUCCAAGGUCAGUUUAGAGUCCAAGCCUCCCCCCUGCCUUAUGGUGCUGGAGUGUUUGUGUGCAUUUCAUAGACGCUAGAUGAAUGUUGAACGAAUAAGUAAAUAAAUACAGGAACUAACCUCAGAAACAUUCUGGGCCUAGCCUAGAAGACGACGCAGGCUUCAUUCACUCCUGAAGAGUCACACGGGGUGCCUGCGGGCUAGAGGAUCCUCCUUCUACCAGAGAAUGCAUCCCUUCUUCAUCCUUAUCUCGGGUGUUUGUGGAACACCUGAUGUGUAUCGUCCAGACAUGAUACUCCCUUCUGCCCGGCACUGUUUUUACAGAUUAUCAGGUGUACAUAAGUGUAUGUAGGAGGGCUGUAGAGACCGCGUGAAAAGGCAACAUUGCAGCCGAGACUCCGGAGUUUGGGGGACCAAGCACUUGGAGGCACAGGCAGUGCAGUGCAAGCAAAUAUCCACAGGCAAGCUUGUCUGGAAGGCUAAAUGAGGGGAAGGAAGCUGGGAAAUGAGGGCUUGAUGGUUCGAAGAAGAGGAGGAGUCUCUUAGGCCCCGUCCCUCACUUUUUUUUUUUUUUUUUUUUUAGGGAUAGCCCUAACAACUUAAGCCAUUGGCAAGGCAACCAAGUCCCGCCCCUCAAGGACUCCAACUUCGCGACUGUACUUGGCUUUCCGAGGCCUCUACAUCCAAUCCCGUAUGCCGGAGAAACUCAGCCCUGUCGACUACAUCCCCGCUCUGGAGAUAGUCACCCGCCUUCAGGCUUGCCCAUCCUCGUUGCCAAGGAGACGGCCCCCGCAAGCUUGGAGCUCCGCCUCCAGGCUCACGCCAAAUUCCUAGGCGGAUUCCAGGAUUGGUCCCGUCGCUGUCUCGUCACCAUGGAAACCCGGCCCCGCCCUGCGCAGGCUCAGCCUGCGGACCCUAAAGCUUUCCAGUUGCCUACAGGUUAUAACCUACCCCAGGUUGCCAAAGAGACAUCCCGGGCCCCCACGAAGGCCCCGCCCUUUGGUCGCGGAGGCUUCCCCGAGGCCCUGUCCCACGCAGGUUGCCAAAAAGUCUUCUCCCCCACGUAGCCCCGCCGCUCGCUGGCCCCCCAUCUCUGACUUCUUCUGCUUCCAUGUCUGACUUCACCUCCUAAAGUCAUCGCCAAGGCGACCCGCCUUCGCGCUGUCCCUGGACUUCCGCACUCUUCAAGCGUGACUCCGCCCUUCCACCCCCAAGUGCCAAGCCCUCUAGACUCCGCCCACACCAGAUAGGCCACGCCCCCAAGAUGCUCUGCAGUCUUGACCCUCACCUCCGUCCCGGUUACUAAGGAGACUAGGCUCCGCCGCUUCGCCCCCAGGCUCCGCCCCACACACUGGACCCAGGUCUCUGGCUUCCGGAAAUACUUAUUUUGUCCUAGUGCGGCCACCGUUCUCCACGAGUCAGCCCCCCGCAGCGCGUUGCCCGCGUUUCUCCGCGAGCCCCACGCCUGCCGUGCGUGCCGUGCGUGCCAUGCGUGAGCGUGCGCGGGCGCGUCGGCCGGCGAGGGAGCAGCAAACGGCCGGCGGCAGGCGCCGCGCGGGGGGCGGGCGGCGCGGAGGCGGCGGUGGCCAUGGCCGAGGCGUCGCCGCAGCCCGGACGGUACUUCUGCCACUGCUGCUCGGUAGAGAUCGUGCCGCGCCUGCCGGAUUACAUCUGCCCAAGGUGCGAGUCUGGCUUCAUUGAGGAGCUUCCAGAAGAGACCAGGAACACAGAGAAUGGCUCAGCCCCCUCCACAGCCCCCACCGACCAGAACCGGCAGCCAUUUGAGAAUGUGGACCAGCACCUGUUCACGCUGCCACAGGGAUACAGCCAGUUUGCCUUUGGCAUCUUCGACGAUAGCUUUGAGAUUCCCACGUUCCCUCCUGGAGCCCAGGCCGAUGAUGGCAGGGACCCUGAGAGCCGACGGGAGAGAGAGCACCAGUCUCGGCAUCGGUACGGGGCCCGGCAGCCCCGUGCCCGCCUCACUGCCCGCCGGGCCACUGGCCGGCAUGAAGGUGUCCCUACGCUGGAAGGGAUCAUCCAGCAGCUCGUGAAUGGCAUCAUCUCUCCGGCUGCUGUGCCCAGCCUGGGCCUUGGUCCCUGGGGCGUCCUGCACUCGAACCCAAUGGACUACGCCUGGGGGGCCAACGGCCUGGACACCAUCAUCACGCAGCUCUGGCCAAGCCCUUCUUCCCCUCACCUCCUGAAGAAUGCCUGCUGUCCUAGGGUGCACAGUGGCCUGUACCAGAGCUGCACACCCCUGAUACCCCUGAGGUUUAAUGGGCCUGGUCUUGCUGAUUUGCAACUCUGCAGAGCUGGGCAGGUGGAGACUCCCCACCCUACCACCCCAUUGGGAACCAUGCCCUCCCCACCUCAGGUCCUUCUUCCUUCUUGUCUUUCAGCUCCUCAAUCAGUUUGAGAACACCGGCCCCCCACCUGCAGACAAGGAGAAGAUUCAGGCUCUCCCCACGGUCCCAGUCACAGAGGAACACGUGGGCUCAGGGCUUGAGUGCCCAGUGUGUAAAGAAGACUAUGCACUGGGUGAGAGUGUGCGGCAGUUGCCCUGCAACCACCUGUUCCACGACAGCUGCAUCGUGCCCUGGCUGGAGCAGCAUGACAGCUGCCCGGUCUGCCGUAAGAGCCUCACUGGACAGAACACAGCCACCAAUCCCCCAGGCUUGACCGGUGUAGGUUUCUCCUCGUCCUCGUCCUCAUCCUCCUCCAGCUCGCCCAGCAAUGAGAACGCCACAAGCAACUCCUGAGUCCCACCUGGCCAUCCCCCCCGGGGUUUGGUCAUCCCACCCACCCCAGGUGCCCCAGCACCGCCCGCCUGCCCGCCCGCCAUGGCUGUGGACUAGAGGUGCUGCCCGUGGCGGCCGGCAGUACCUGGCGGGCCCCAGGCUGCGGGCAGGCUUGGACUUGGCCAUGGCCGCUCCUGUUUGGAGGUGUGCACGUGGGUCCCAUGUCCCCAGCAGGCAGGCACCUUCAGUCCGUCUUAACCUCACCCUCCAAAUGUUCAACGGCAGAAGGGUUUUUAUGAUUUUAAAUUAUUACUGCUUUGAAAUAAAUGGACGUUUGAGCCACGUGCGGCCAUGCAUGGUCUGUGGAGAGUCAGCAGAACUGUCGCCAGGCCCAGCCCGCCACACGCCCUGGGAGGCCGGGCCCAGCACCCAACCAGCGCCGGCCUCGGGACCACAAGGGUGACCAGCAGACCCAGGAACAAACUGCUCCAGCAGACAAUUUUUUUUUUUUAAGGGAAAUGUGUGUUAUCUGGAAAGCUAUUUAAAAUACACCUACUCAAAAAAGCAGA